AGAGUUUGAUCCUGGCUCAGAAUCAACGCUGGCGGCGUGCCUAACACAUGCAAGUCGAACGAGAAAGUGGAGCAAUCCAUGAGUAAAGUGGCGACCGGGUGAGUAACACGUGACUAACCUACCCUGAAGUGGGGAAUAACCUCGGGAAACCGGGGCUAAUACCGCAUAACAUCGCGAGCUGUAAACGCUUGUGAUCAAAGGAGCAAUUUGCUUUAGGAGGGGGUCGCGGCUGAUUAGCUAGUUGGUGAGGUAAUGGCCCACCAAGGCAAUGAUCGGUAGCCGGCCUGAGAGGGCGCACGGCCACACUGGAACUGAAACACGGUCCAGACUCCUACGGGAGGCAGCAGUGGGGAAUUUUGCGCAAUGGGGGAAACCCUGACGCAGCAACGCCGCGUGGAGGAUGAAGCCCCUUGGGGUGUAAACUCCUUUCGAUCGGGACGAUUAUGACGGUACCGGAUGAAGAAGCACCGGCUAACUCUGUGCCAGCCGCCGCGGUAAUAC
rnacentral:rRNA from 1 species